AGCGAACGCUGGCGGCAGGCCUAACACAUGCAAGUCGAACGGAGUCUUCGGACUUAGUGGCGGACGGGUGAGUAACACGUGGGAACGUACCUUUUGGUUCGGAACAACUCAGGGAAACUUGAGCUAAUACCGGAUGAGCCCUAAGGGGGAAAGAUUUAUUGCCGAAAGAGCGGCCCGCGUUGGAUUAGCUAGUUGGUGAGGUAAAGGCUCAACAAGGCUACGAUCUAUAGCUGGUCUGAGGGGAUGAUCAGCCACACGGGGACUGAGACACGGCCCAGACUCCUACGGGAGGCAGCAGUGGGGAAUCUUGCGCUAUGGGCGAAAGCCUGACGCAGCCAUGCCGCGUGAAUGAUGAAGGUCUUAGGAUUGUAAAAUUCUUUUACCAGGGACGAUAAUGACGGUACCUGGAGAAAAAGCCCCGGCCAACUUCGUGCCAGCCGCCGCCGUAAAAC
rnacentral:rRNA from 1 species